GACGAACGCUGGCGGCGUGCUUAACACAUGCAAGUCGAACGGCAAGGCCCUGCUUUUGUGGGGUGCUCGAGUGGCGAACGGGUGCGUAACACGUGAGUAACCUGCCCUUGUCUUUGGGAUAACUUCAGGAAACUGGGGCUAAUACAGGAUAGGAGCUCCUGCUGCAUGGUGGGGGUUGGAAAGUUUCGGCGGUUGGGGAUGGACUCGCGGCUUAUCAGCUUGUUGGUGGGGUAGUGGCUUACCAAGGAUUUGAUGGGUAGCUGGCCUGAGAGGGUGACCGGCGACAUUGGAAGUGAGCCACGCUCAUGGCUCCUACGGGAGGCAGCAGUGGGGAAUGGGGGACAAGGGGCGAAAGCCUGAUCCAGCCAGAGCGCGUGGGUGAAGAAGGCCUGCGGGGUGGAAAGCCCUUUUGUUGGGAAAGAAAAGCAGCAGGUUAAUACCACGCUGGUCUGACGGUACCGAAAGAAUAAGCACCGGCUAACUUCGUG
rnacentral:rRNA from 1 species